rnacentral:rRNA from 1 species
CGCACGGGUGAGUAACACGUAUCCAACCUGCCGUCUACUCUUGGACAGCCUUCUGAAAGGAAGAUUAAUACAAGAUGGCAUCAUGAGUCCGCAUGUUCACAUGAUUAAAGGUAUUCCGGUAGACGAUGGGGAUGCGUUCCAUUAGAUAGUAGGCGGGGUAACGGCCCACCCAGUCUUCGAUGGAUAGGGGUUCUGAGAGGAAGGUCCCCCACAUUGGAACUGAGACACGGUCCAA